AUUGAACGCUGGCGGCAGGCCUAACACAUGCAAGUCGAGCGGAUGAAGGGAGCUUGCUCCUGGAUUCAGCGGCGGACGGGUGAGUAAUGCCUAGGAAUCUGCCUGGUAGUGGGGGAUAACGUCCGGAAACGGGCGCUAAUACCGCAUACGUCCUGAGGGAGAAAGUGGGGGAUCUUCGGAACUCACGCUAUUAGAUGAGCCUAGGUCGGAUUAGCUAGUUGGUGGGGUAAAGGCCUACCAAGGCGACGAUCCGUAACUGGUCUGAGAGGAUGAUCAGUCACACUGGAACUGAGACACGGUCCAGACUCCUACGGGAGGCAGCAGUGGGGAAUAUUGGACAAUGGGCGAAAGCCUGAUCCAGCCAUGCCGCGUGUGUGAAGAAGGUCUUCGGAUUGUAAAGCACUUUAAGUUGGGAGGAAGGGCAGUAAGUUAAUACCUUGCUGUUUUGACGUUACCAACAGAAUAAGCACCGGCUAACUUCGUG
rnacentral:rRNA from 1 species